AACGAACGCUGGCGGCAGGCUUAACACAUGCAAGUCGAACGCCCCGCAAGGGGAGUGGCAGACGGGUGAGUAACGCGUGGGAAUCUACCCAGAUCUACGGAACAACAGAGGGAAACUUCUGCUAAUACCGUAUACGCCCUACGGGGGAAAGAUUUAUCGGAUUUGGAUGAGCCCGCGUAAGAUUAGCUAGUUGGUGGGGUAAUGGCCUACCAAGGCGACGAUCUUUAGCUGGUCUGAGAGGAUGAUCAGCCACACUGGGACUGAGACACGGCCCAGACUCCUACGGGAGGCAGCAGUGGGGAAUAUUGGACAAUGGGCGCAAGCCUGAUCCAGCCAUGCCGCGUGAGUGAUGAAGGCCUUAGGGUUGUAAAGCUCUUUCAGUAGGGAAGAUAAUGACGGUACCUACAGAAGAAGCCCCGGCUAACUUCGUGCCAGCAGCCGCUGUAAAAC
rnacentral:rRNA from 1 species